GCCUCUGCCUCUGCCUCUGCCUCUGCCUCUGCCUCUGCCUCUGCCUCUGCCCACAUAACACUCCCAGACUCCUCUCCAUCUUUAAGAACAGGUCUGUAUGUUUUGAUGCAUCAGGAUCUGGAAUCUCGCCUCGAUUUGUACUUGACCUGAUAACUGAUACUUUGCUUCCUACAGCUACAAAAUGCUUAUUUACAUAGAUGCAGCUAUGUUGUGGAACCAGUAUUCUCAUUACCUCCCUUGGCCACAACUUUUAAAUGUUUCCUAGUAAUUUGUGUUCUGCAAGGGAUGAAACAGAGCCAGUUCUGCAGAAACUUGAUAGUACCCUCCCUGGGGAGCUUCUUGCUGCUCAGCUUCCUGAGCACCGGCCACCCCAAUCUUCCCUUCCAGUGUGGGCCCUCGGCAUGCGAGUUUCCUAAGUCUUUAGAACCAGAGGGUUGGCAGGACAAAGGCAGUUUUAAGGAUUUAAAGUGAAAAGGAGCCUCCUACACUGAACCCAGUUCCCGUGCUGAAAUUAUUGCGGUCCCUGCCGCUGCCGCCCCAUGUGUUCUGGCUUUUACAGGAUUGUUCUCCGAAGCUUUGCUCAGAGAGGUAAAGCCCCAUUGCCCACUGCAAGUCUUAAUGAAAAGCAGCUCAUAAGCAAGUGACGUAACCUAAUUGUAAUCCAGGGAUCAGCGCGGUAAUAUUAUUUAAAGAAAUAGCAUCCAUUUUCCGUGACCUGAUUUAGAAAAGAAACCCAGGGAAGAAAGGGGGGGGGGGGGAGACAAUUCAGCACUUGGCUUCCUGCAUUUGCUCUAAUGAGCACACUGGUAAAUAAUUCAGAAACAAUGACUUUCAAGAACGUUAAACUCAACUUAGCACAGGAUUCUAGCUCAAAGCAACUAAAGCUGCUUAGAGCAAAUUGGAAGUGUUCGGGCAUACUGUUUUCACUUGAAAGAGACACUCACAAACCAUGCUAUUCACACUCGGGAAUUUGGCAGGCAAAGAAGAAGAAGAAGAAGAAGAAGAAGAAGAAGAAGAAGAAGAAGAAGAAGAAGAAGAGGAAGAGGAAGAGGAAGAGGAAGAGGAAGAGGAAGAGGAAGAGGAAGAGGAAGAGGAAGAGGAAGAGGAAGAAA
rnacentral:lncRNA from 1 species